GCUUCCAUAGCUCAGUAGGUAGAGCACUUCCAUGGUAAGGAAGAGGUCAUCGGUUCGAAUCCGAUUGGAAGCU
rnacentral:tRNA from 1 species